rnacentral:rRNA from 1 species
UACGGAGGAGGCAAGCGUUAUCCGGAAUUAUUGGGCGUAAAGCGUCCGUAGGUGGCUCUUCAAGUCUGCUGUCAAAGAGUGGGGCUUAACCCUGCAAAGGCAGUGGAAACUGAAAGGCUAGAGAGCCGUAGGGGUAGAGGGAAUUCCCGGUGUAGCGGUGAAAUGCGUAGAGAUCGGGAAGAACAUCGGUGGCGAAAGCGCUCUACUGGGCCAUAACUGACACUGAGGGACGAAAGCUAGGGGAGCGAAAGGG